rnacentral:rRNA from 1 species
UAGCGUAGGGUGCAAGCGUUAAUCGGAAUUACUGGGCGUAAAGCGUGCGCAGGCGGUUUUCGUAAGUCCUGUCGGUGAAAUCCCCGGGCUCAACCUGGGAAUUGCGAUGGAGACUGCAAGGCUAGAAUCUGGCAAGAGGGGGGUAGAAUUCCACGUGUAGCAGUGAAAUGCGUAGAGAUGUGGAGGAACACCGAUGGCGCAAGGCA